rnacentral:rRNA from 1 species
GAUGAAGGCUGGCGGCGUGCCUAAUACAUGCAAGUCGAGCGAACAGAUAAGGAGCUUGCUCCUUUGACGUUAGCGGCGGACGGGUGAGUAACACGUGGGUAACCUACCUAUAAGACUGGAAUAACUCCGGGAAACCGGGGCUAAUGCCGGAUAACAUUUAGAACCGCAUGGUUCUAAAGUGAAAGAUGGUUUUGCUAUCACUUAUAGAUGGACCCGCGCCGUAUUAGCUAGUUGGUAAGGUAACGGCUUACCAAGGCAACGAUACGUAGCCGACCUGAGAGGGUGAUCGGCCACACUGGAACUGAGACACGGUCCAGACUCCUACGGGAGGCAGCAGUAGGGAAUCUUCCGCAAUGGGCGAAAGCCUGACGGAGCAACGCCGCGUGAGUGAUGAAGGUCUUCGGAUCGUAAAACUCUGUUAUUAGGGAAGAACAAAUGUGUAAGUAACUGUGCACGUCUUGACGGUACCUAAUCAGAAAGCCACGGCUAACUACGUG